rnacentral:rRNA from 1 species
CCUACGGGCGGCUGCAGUGGGGAAUAUUGGACAAUGGGCGAAAGCCUGAUCCAGCCAUGCCGCGUGUGUGAAGAAGGCCUUCGGGUUGUAAAGCACUUUCAGUGGGGAAGAAAGCCUUGGGGCUAAUACCCUCGAGGAAGGACAUCACCCACAGAAGAAGCACCGACUAACUCCGUGCCAGCAGCCGCGGUAAUACGGAGGGUGCGAGCGUUAAUCGGAAUUACUGGGCGUAAAGCGCGCGUAGGCGGUCUGAUAAGCCGGUUGUGAAAGCCCCGGGCUCAACCUGGGAACGGCAUCCGGAACUGUCAGGCUAGAGUGCAGGAGAGGAAGGUAGAAUUCCCGGUGUAGCAGUGAAAUGCGUAGAGAUCGGGAGGAAUACCAGUGGCGAAGGCGGCCUUCUGGACUGACACUGACGCUGAGGUGCGAAAGCGUGGGUAGCAAACAGGAUUAGAUACCCGAGUAGUC